ACGUUUGAUUUCAUUUAAUCAGGAACGCGCCUUUUUUUCCCUAAUUGGCUGUAGAUGCUUAAAGACAGAGGCUGAAGAUUACAUGCGUAUUGGUGGUACAAAGAAGUAAACACAAGUUCUACAGCAAACUCACAAGAUGUCUGCAAAUAUUAGUACCUACCAACUUUUAAUAUUAUGAAUAUUAGUUAGUAACAUUCUUUUCGGCAAAUAUCACAGCUUGCGAUGGCUUUUUCUAGCCAGCUAGUGAUGUCUUAUUGUUAUAUUGAUCUAAUAUUUCUUGUAGAACAUUUCUAGUUCUGAGAUAUUGUUGGACCAUCUUGCAUGCACACCAUGUUUAACAUCUACCUACAUACAUUUCAGCUUGCAUUUGUUCAAGCAAUUUAUGGUGGGGUUUAAAGUAUGUUGGUAAACAAAGUAAAACAAUAUCCUGUUUUAGACUUUUCAGCUUCAGUGUCCUGACUUAUGAACAAUUUUUUUGCAUAUACUUAAUUAAACAACAUGUUAUUUCAUCUACCUAUGCAUCUUCAGGCUUAACCAUUGUUGGAUAUUCUCUCUGUAAACACUACCCCCUUUUUUUCUUUUGGUGAUUGUGGAAAGAGUUACUUCAUUAGCACCUGUUUCUAAAAUGUCUCCAUGUUGUCUUUUAUACUUUUUAACACAGACACAUUUACAU